rnacentral:rRNA from 1 species
GAACGGGUGAGUAAUGCUUAGGAAUCUGCCUAGUAGUGGGGGAUAACUUGGGGAAACUCAAGCUAAUACCGCAUACGACCUACGGGUGAAAGGGGGCGCAAGCUCUCGCUAUUAGAUGAGCCUAAGUCGGAUUAGCUAGUUGGUGGGGUAAAGGCCUACCAAGGCGACGAUCUGUAGCUGGUCUGAGAGGAUGAUCAGCCACACUGGGACUGAGACACGGCCCAGACUCC